rnacentral:tRNA from 1 species
UGGCUUGUGGCUCAAUUGGCAGAGUAGGAGAUUCUUAAUCUUCGGGUUGUGGGUUCGAAUCCCACCAGGCCAA